ACGGGCAGCUGACUAUAGAAUAAUCGAGUAAGGGAUACGAAUUCAUGCAGUUACUCGACUGUUCAGUUAACCACUAUGGAACAUCUCUAAUUCAAACCCAUUUAUCCCCAUCCCUGCCCGUCACAGGAAGGGGGUAGCUGGGAAUGAGCCUCAGAGCACUAAUGGUGCCCGUGUCUUUGCAGGGGGCGCCGGGUGCAAACUCUGCCCCUCGGACUGGCGGCUGCGCGGGGACAAGUGCUACUGGGUCUCCACAGAAAAUAAAACCUGGAACAAGAGCCGCAGCGACUGCGCCGCGAGGGGCUCCCAGCUGCUGGUGAUCCGGGACCGGGAGGAGCUGGAGGCCCUCCACAACCUGACACAAGGCCCAUCUAAGCUCUGGGUGGGACUGUCCCGCCCCUCCCCGGAGAAGGCCUGGACCUGGCUGGAUGGAUCCCGGCUGGAUCAGACCCGGCUCCCGGUGUCAGGCCCAGCUGAGGGGAACAGCUGUGGGAUGAUGAAGGGGAAUCAGAUUCAUUCACAAGGCUGCAGCUCUGCACAUCAGUGGAUUUGCCAGCGAGACGCCGUCCCCCUCUGAGCAGGGUACGGAGGAGACCUCAGAGUGCGGCUCCGUUAUUCCCGUGUCACACCUGGGGAAACCGAGUCACAGACACUCACCUGCCCAAGAUCACACCGAGAAUUGGUGACAAAGCGGGAAAUGGAACCCAGGAGUCCUGCGUCCCAGCCCUCCCUCAGCCUGUAGAAGCGAGUCCAAGCUCCGGUUUUGCGGUUUCAGCAGGGCUGGGCUGUAGGUAACCCUGCCCCUUCCUGUUUAAGCCCCGUCCCUUCCACAGUGACCCAGAGCUACUUCAAAAAAUUUUUAAGUGGCCCCUAGCAAAAAUGAUUGCCCACCCCUUCUGUAGAUGGGAUCAUGAGCUUUCGUCGGGGAGAGUGAGCUUUCGUCGGGGGGAAGUGGGUUGUCCCACAAGAGCUCAUGAUCCCAUCUACAUCAGGAACGUCAAACAGGCUUCUGGCGGGUUGCAUGCGGCCCAAUCGAAAUUUUUUGUGGCCUGCCACUACAUUUUAUAAGAGAAUAAAGUGCGGCCUGCUGGCCACUUGGAGCAUGUGGCCGAGUGCAGAUCACGGCUGGCCGGGUUGCCCUGCACAUGCAUCAAGUGCCUGCUUACAGCUGGCUGCUGUGCUCUCACCUCCCCAGUGCCUGAGGAAGAAAUGUGUGGGGGCAAUGACACUGGCUCUGGGACCUAGGCAUUAGGUAUGGUCUGGGGGAGGGAAGAGGCACUGGGUCAGAGCGGGAUGGAGUGCUCUGAGGGAGCAGAGGAGAAUUGGGUUAGAACGGGGAUAUGGGAGUGCCUGGCUUUGGGGCAGUGAAGGGGGAUAUUUUGUUCAUGUUUUGGUUUUUAUUUAUUUCCAAAUAAAAUCACAAAAUGUAUAUUAAUUUUAUAUCAAACAUACGUCAAUUUUUUUGCAAUUGAACAAAUAAUUAUAUGUUUAUGCAAAAUCUCAA